rnacentral:rRNA from 1 species
AUUUUUAAUGAAGUUUUCGGAUGGAUUUAGAUUUGACUUAGCGGCGGACGGGUGAGUAACGCGUGGGUAACCUGCCUUAUACUGGGGGAUAACAGUUAGAAAUGACUGCUAAUACCGCAUAAGCGCACAGUGCCGCAUGGCACGGUGUGAAAAACUCCGGUGGUGUAAGAUGGACCCGCGUCUGAUUAGGUAGUUGGUAGGGUAACGGCCUACCAAGCCGACGAUCAGUAGCCGGUCUGAGAGGAUGAACGGCCACACUGGAACUGAGACACGGUCCAGACUCC